rnacentral:rRNA from 1 species
AGCUCCAAUAGCGUAUAUUAAAGUUGUUGCAGUUAAAACGCUCGUAGUCGGAAGUAGUGUGCGGGGAUUGUGAGCGAAUGCUUGUGGUCUGAAGCAUAUGCACCAUUUGAGUGGUGGGUUACUUUGAGGAAAUUAGAGUGUUCAAAGCGGGCGAAAGCUUGGAUACGAGAGCAUGGAAUAACGGAAUAGGACCUUGAGCUUACGUUGGUUAGUAGUUUGAGGUAAUGAUUAAGAGGGACGGUUGGGGGCAUUAGUAUUUGGAAGCUAGAGGUGAAAUUCGAGGAUUUUCCAAAGACUAACGAGAGCGAAAGCAUUUGCCAAGGAUGUUUUCA